GAAAGCAAGUAAAUCGAAGAAGAAAUGGUUCGGGAAAGAAAAGCAUCCAGUACCAGAUUCUUCAACUUUGGUUGUUACUACUGUUUCUCCUCCUCAUCCUGUUCCUCCGGUGGAAGAGGUCAAACUGAUUGAAGUGGAACAAGAGCAGACUAAACAUGCUUAUUCUGUUGCAGUUGCCACGGCAGCAGCUGCUGAAGCUGCUGUUGCAGCUGCCCAGGCUGCUGCGGAGGUUGUUCGGUUAACUACAGUCAAUCAAUUUGUAGGAAAAUCCAAGGAGGAAAUAGCCGCAAUCAGGAUUCAGACUGCAUUUCGAGGAUAUCUGGUAUGCAUCUGUACUCAUAUGCAUUCAAGUGAUUUUUCCAUUUCCCGGAAAAUUUUCUUUUUUAUAGUUUAUGAUAAACUUGAUUCUCUCAGUAAAAAAAAUAAAGGAAUAGAAAGCCGGGGGCGGAGCCGCAAGCUUGCAUACGGGUUCUGCAGAACCCACUAGCUUUGGCCCAGACCCUGUAUUUUUGUUUAGAAAUUUAUUUAAUAUGUAUAAAUAAUGUAUCCAGGACCCAGUAAACUGCCUUUUUCUGAAAUCCAGAACCCAUAAACUCAAAAUCCUAACUCCGCCUUUGUAGAAAGCUACAUUGCGGUUUAAUUUUGCUGUACUUGUGAGAACAUGUAAUAAAUGAUCUGGUACUGAGAUAUAAAUUUCCGUGGGGAAAUCUCAUUUGCAGGCCAGAAGGGCAUUGAGGGCUUUAAGAGGACUUGUUAGACUCAAAACAUUAGUUGAUGGACCUACUGUCAAACGGCAAACUGCAAAUACUUUGAAAUGUAUGCAGACUCUAUCACGUGCC
rnacentral:lncRNA from 1 species